rnacentral:rRNA from 1 species
GAUGAACGCUGGCGGCGUGCCUAAUACAUGCAAGUCGAGCGAACGGACGAGAAGCUUGCUUCUCUGAUGUUAGCGGCGGACGGGUGAGUAACACGUGGAUAACCUACCUAUAAGACUGGGAUAACUUCGGGAAACCGGAGCUAAUACCGGAUGAUAUUUUGAACCGCAUGGUUCAAAAGUGAAAGACGGUCUUGCUGUCACUUAUAGAUGGAUCCGCGCUGCAUUAGCUAGUUGGUAAGGUAACGGCUUACCAAGGCAACGAUGCAUAGCCGACCUGAGAGGGUGAUCGGCCACACUGGAACUGAGACACGGUCCAGACUCCUACGGGAGGCAGCAGUAGGGAAUCUUCCGCAAUGGGCGAAAGCCUGACGGAGCAACCCCGCGUGAGUGAUGAAGGUCUUCGGAUCGUAAAACUCUGUUAUUAGGGAAGAACAUAUGUGUAAGUAACUGUGCACAUCUUGACGGUACCUAAUCAGAAAGCCACGGCUAACUACGUG